UCUUCCCAGUUUUCUUACAGCUUGAAAACUAAAAUCUCAGUAUUUUUCUGGAUUUAAUAGAGUUUUGUUUCGACUUUUCUUCUCCGGUGAAAACAAAAUAGGGUUAUGAGUUGAUUAGGGUUAAGAGUUUAUUAUCUUCUUCUCUCUUUUAACCAUCUAUUCAAAUCACCAGAACCUAUUAUUCAUCAUCGGACUUCCAUUUAUCAAUAACAACAGCGAACCCUAGAAAUUCUUUCAUCUCUGUUCAUCAAUUACAUCUCCAAUUACUUCUCAAACCCUAACUGCAAUCUCAAAUUCAAACUAAACCCAUGUCUUACAGCCACAUGAACUCUUCGAUUCAUUCUUAAUCUUCUCAAUUUACACUCAAUAAUCCAUGGCAUCGACAUCUUCUUCAUAGACUUUCUUAUGUUUGCUCAAAUGCAUCUAAACCCAUCUACCAUUCAGCAAUUAGUACCUUGAAUUUCUUCCCCUAAGUUCCCUCUAUUUGAUACAACAGCAGCAGCCGCUGCUUUUAUUUUCUCGUUGUGGCGAUCAAAACCCUAGCUCUCUUCCCCGAAAAACUAAAAUCAAAUCCAACCUCUCAUCAACCAUUUGUGAUGCAACCAAUUUACUUUUUUUAAGAUUACAAACUUCAGAUUUGAUUGAAUCUGAAAUUGCAGUUACGGGGAAUGAAGUGUGAGAAUAGAGUUGCAGGAAGAAGAUGAGUGCUUCACAAGAACCAAAUGAACUGAGAAGGUGGACUAGGUGACAGAGAAUAGAAUUAUGGACCUGAACUGAAACUGGUGUUGCUGUUGGAAUGCAGUGAUUAGAUGCAUGUUAGGUUGCAGGGAUUGAGCUGAAUUGCAGGCAAGGCUAUGCCUAAGCAUAACUUGCGCUCAAGUCUCAAGAAACAAGCAGGUUUUUGAAUAAGUUGGUAAGUAAAUUGAUGUUUAUCUGAUUGAUUUGUUGUGGUAAUUGUUUUUUGUUUUUGGGGGCAGUUGAAUAUGUUUUCCUCGCAUAAUUGAGUUGAAGAGCUUAAAUAUAUGAUAUUUAGAUAUAAUUGUACGGGAUGGUGUUUUUUACUGAUGUUCUUGCGAAGUGGUGGUGACUGAAGUCAGAAUGUCCUUUGCUUAGAGUUGGCGCAUAGACAACAUGGAUUGAGUCCAACAAACAAUGGAAGCGUGUAUCCUCAUGUCAUCCUUGACAAACUCAGUAGAGCAAAACUCAUCCUAAUCUAAAUUCGUUUGGAUUUUGUAAUUAUUGAGUGCAUACAUUAUCAAUGUAUAGAAAAGAAGUGAAAAUCAUGUGUUUUUCUAUUCUGCAUCUCUGCUGAUCUCUUAAAACCAGAAGAAGAACUUAAGGGAAAGGAGUGUGCAGUUGUUCGCCAGAGGCAAUUGUGUUUGCACAAAUCACCCCGAGACAUCCUAGAUGAUAUACCUAUCCAUGGAAUGUCAGAAACGAGCUAUGAACUGUCGAAAUAGAGAGGAAUCUGUAAGUAAUAAGAUAGUCGGUGGAGUUGGAUGCAUAAAACAAGAUUCCAUUUUGUUUUCAUAUUUAUGUUUCACAAGUGUCAUUGGUGAUCUUCAUAAGGUGUUCUGUCUUUCUGUUUAUAUCUUUAAUUGUUUCUGGGUACGGUUACCGAUUUAAAUUUUUUUCCUACCUCAGUUGAUAUCUUUAAUUGUUUCUGUUUAGAUUCCACUUUUA